GGCUCCUUCCUGGACCCCAGAUUGAGCAUAACUUCCUAUCACAUGCCGCCUGCAGUUUGUCCUCCUGAGGACGGCGGAACACACCCUGACCUCCACCUACUUCUCCCACUUCACCUUCUGCCAUCUUCCUUGCAAGUCCCCUGUGGGGCUCCAGGCACACUUGACUCACCAGUUCCUGAAUGUGGCACGUUCUUUCACAUGCUGUCAUUCCCUUCCCUGCAAAGCCUGGCCUUCUUUCUCCAUCUUUCUAUGCUCAUCUUCAGCAAUUAGCAAACUGUCAUGUCUUCCAUGGGAGCUUCUCUGGUUCCAUUUCCAGUCACAUUCCAAACAUGAAUGAUGUAUUUCUGGAGGUAGAUCCAAGUGUAUCCAAGAUCCAAGUGUAUUUCUGGUGUAGAUCCACCACAUAGUGCUGAGGACGUUAGGCUGCUUAAUCUAUGCUUCCCUUUCCUCAGUCAUAUAAUGGAGAUAAGAAUACUAGCACCUAUAAAAUUAUGGUGAUAAAACGACUAGAAAGUUUUCUGUAAACACAUAGUAACUCAACAAGUUUUUUUAUUUUUUUUGUACCAGGGAUUGCACCCAGGGGUCUUUAAUCAUCAAGCCACAUCUCUAGCCCAUUUUAUUUUAUAUUUUGAGACAGAGUCUUGCUAAAUUGCUUAGGGCUUGCUAAGUUGUUGAGACUGGCUUUGAAUUUGCAAUCCUCCUGCCUCCAUCUCCCAAGCUACUGGGAUUAUAGGCAUGCAACUACCAUGUCCAGCCUCAGUGUUUUUAAAAAUUUGAAUAUCACAGCUGGGUACAAUGGCGCAUGCCUGUAAUCCCAGCAGUGCGGGAGACUGAGGCAGGAGGAUCUCAAGUUCAAAGCCAGCCUCAGCAAAAAAUCGAGGCACUAAGCAACUCAGUGAGACCCUGUCUCUAAAUAAAAUACAAAAUAGGGCUGGAGAUGUGGCUCAGUGGUCAAGUGCCCCUGAGUUCAAUCCCUAGUACUGCUCCCCCCCUAAAUUGGUUAUCAUUUAUUACCACUGUUACCAUUAUCACUAUCGUAUUCAAUGUCCCACAUGCUUUUACUUUAUACACAUGGUUAUUAUUUGUGUCUAUCUAAUCUCAUGUACUUUUAAUCCUCAGGCUAAGCACAAUAUUUGGCAUGAACAGGUAUGCAGUAAAUAUUUUUGAAAUUUAAUUAUUAAUGUCUAUGCUUUUUCCCCCUUAUCUGCUUAUAAGCUCCUUGAGGUAGGUUUCCUGCUUUGUAUGUAACAAUCAUCAGGGAUGCUAGCCAGUGCCCUGUGCAUUAUCAAUAUUCAAAUAUGUCAUGAAUAAGCCCAUGCAUUAAUGACUUUUGUGUACAAAUGACUGUUCAAAUGUUGGCUGACAAAGAGCAGGACAGACCAUAGGUGUAGCAAGAGAGCUGCUCCCAGUGUGGCAUGGGGCCAGCUGAAUGCUUGAAGGCAAACGCUUCUUCGGUCUGAUUUUUUUUUUUUCUCAUAAACGUCUCUUGAAAAGGCAAAUGGCAAAUGAGAUGCAGUGUUGAAGUUGAGGAUCCAUCUUCUGAACCUGACGCCAGUGUGUGGACAUGAUGUGAAGACUUGCCUGAAAAUGACAGCCAUCGCCCUCUAAAGAAGUGUUCACCGAGGACCCAUAGCAUCAUGCCUGGCACUGAUAGGUGCUAGAAAUUCAGGGAUGUUGUGGCUUGGCCCUUGGUAGAUGUUCAUGGAAAUGGAUGGAGCUGGAGAAAAUCAUGCUAAGCAAAAUAAACUGAUCCUCAAGAACUAAAGUCUGAAUGUUCUCCGUGAUAAGUGGAUGCUGAUCCAUAAUAGGGGGAGGAGGCAUUGGAAGAAUGGAGAAACUU